GUGGCUUGCUGCUGUUGCGAGUGGGCUACCUAGAAGAUGAACAUGAAGAAUAUGGUGCCAGCAAUGGCAAAGGGGAAGGCAGGGAGUGGUAAAGUGAAAGAGAAAUAUUGAGGUGUGAAGUUAGUAUACGAGAUAUAGAUGCUCCACAACAUGUGUAUUGUUGCGUAACUCUUGGCUCUCUACAUCAGCCUUCAAUCACAUGAAGUUUGUGAUCACAUCAGAUUUGAGGUGUAUUUAUAACAAUCACAUAAAUGGAAGGUUGCAGGACGAUUUUGGAAAUGUCAAUGGCGUCAACAAAGACAUCGGACAAGAGGUAAACACUUAUCUAUGUUUAC